GAAGCCCAAAGCUGAUAAGACUGGCGAUUGAUCCUAAAGCUGAUUCUGACAGACGAUUGCAUCAUCACAAUAUUAAAGGUUCAAUAUACAGUCAGCCUCUCAUAAGAAAAAAUCCAAAGAUCCAAGGCUUGCUUCAAAGUUAAGAGACCAUUCUGUGCCACCAACAAAUUGUUCAGGAAGGGGAGAACUGGUGGAUUUGCAUUUUUGGUAAAGUUCAAAGAGAUUUUCAAAAUGGUGAGAUCAGAGGGAGGACAACUGAAAAUAUUGAAAGAUACUGAAGGAAAAA